GACGAACGCUGGCGGCGUGCCUAAUACAUGCAAGUAGAACGCACAGUUUAUACCGUAGCUUGCUACACCAUAGACUGUGAGUUGCGAACGGGUGAGUAACGCGUAGGUAACCUGCCUGGUAGCGGGGGGUAACUAUUGGAAACGAUAGCUAAUACCGCAUAAUAUUGAUUAUUGCAUGAUAAUUGAUUGAAAGAUGCUAUUGCAUCACUACCAGAUGGACCUGCGUUGUAUUAGCUAGUAGGUGAGGUAACGGCUCACCUAGGCGACGAUACAUAGCCGACCUGAGAGGGUGAUCGGCCACCCUGGGACUGAGACACGGCCCAGACUCCUGCGGGAGGCAGCAGUAGGGAAUCUUCGGCAAUGGACGAAAGUCUGACCGAGCAACGCCGCGUGAGUGCAGAAGGUUUUCGGAUCGUAAAGCUCUGUUGUAAGAGAAGAACGGGUGUGAGAGUGGAAAGUUCACACUGUGACGGUAUCUUACCAGAAAGGGACGGCUAACUACGUG
rnacentral:rRNA from 1 species